CCCCUGGACUUCACCAAGCACUUCAUCGCGGUGCCGACAGAGUUCAAGCUGAGGAACAACACCGGGUGCUCCUGGAAGGUGACGAUGAAGCUGAUGAACGGCAGGGUGACCCUGGAUCAGGGUUGGGCCACCUACGUGGCCGUUCAUCAGAUCAAGAUCGGCUACAUGGUGAUGUUCAAGCUCCUCACUCCCGACACCCUUAAGUUCAUCAGCUUCGACGGCGAUGGCAUUGAGGUGGUCAACAAGUGCGGCAAGCACGACGAAGCCUUCGCCGCCAAGGACUAG
rnacentral:rRNA from 1 species